UUCUAAAGAGGUCCACUCCCCACUCCCCAUAUCCUUUCUUUUCCUCUAUCUCUGGUAGAUGGUGGGCUAACAGGGAGGUUAAAGUUUUCGAGAGCCAUCAUGAACAAUAAGGUUUGAAAAAACUAAAGUUACAACACUGCGUUUCUUUUUGGUACUAUUGCUCUUUCUCUUGGUAAGUUGGAAUUUUUCUUUGUGUGUGGAGAGCUAGAUACAUGUGUGCAGUGCAUGUGAAAGGAGGAUACAUGUGUGCAGUGCAUAUGGUUAAGAGGAUACAUGUGUGAAAUGCAUGUGGUAGGAGGAUACAUGUGUGCAGUGCAUGUGGGAGGAGGAUACAUGUGUGCAGUGCAUGUGGGAGGAGAUACAUGUUUGUAGUGCAUGUGGUAGGAGGAUACAUGUGUACAGUGCAUGUGGUAGGAGGAUACAUGUGUACAGUGCAUGUGGGAGGAGGAUACAUGUGUGCAAUGCAUGUGGGAGGAGGAUACAUGUGUAUAGUGCAUGUGGUAGGAGGAUACAUGUGUGCAGUGCAUGCGGGAGGAGGAUACAUGUUUGUAGUGCAUGUGAGAGGAGGAUACAUAUGUGCAGUGCAUGUGGGAGGAGGAUACAUGUGUGCAGUGAAUGUGGGAGAAGUCACUUUGUGGGUGCACAGGUGAGGAGGCCAGAAGUCUGUGUCAGGUCUGUGUCUUCCUCGUUUCUUUGCUGACUGGCUAGGAUGGCUGUCAUCAAGCUUGAGAGAUCUGGCUGUCUGUAUCUUAUUUGAUCAUCAGGUGAGGUGGGAAAUUUUGGGGAAUAGCCUUGACUAAAGUCCAUCUCUUGGUCAGUAUUUUAAUAAUUAAUAAAGCUUGCUUUAAAUCUGGCCCAAAAUGGUGGAGUUGUUUUUUUUCUGACGAUUCACAGGAUUAACAACAGAACAACCUUCAUGCUCCAGCCCACAUGCCUUUCCUGGAUGAUAAAACAAGAAACACUAUGUUGUUUGAGCUGGUAUAUUCUGGGAUCUAUUUUUUAGAACAGGUUAACAUGCUCCCUGAUUGAGAAAUUAGUUAAGAAAUUGGGAGCUACACUCACAAGGAUACGCCAUGCUUGGCACUGCCCUAGUGCUUCAACUGUAGGCCAAGAGGGCUGGCGACCUGGAAACCUACAGUAAAGAUAUAUAUAUACUUGGGAUAACCAAGAGCUGCAUGGGAAAACCAUGGUGGCACUGAGUUUCCUGCGUCGUGCUGAUUACUGUGGUUUGGAUCACAGAAUCUCAGUCCUGAGGUUUGGAAGCCAACCUAUGGUAUACCCUUUGGCAGGUGGAGCCUCAUGGAGGAGAGCUGGUCACUUCCUGCCUUGUGGUACACAACUUCCUUUGACCUGAGACAUUCCCUUAGACAAGGGCAACUGGGACAAAUGACCACGGAGUAAAACCCAAAAGCCCAAACAAUCCAGACCUCCACUUAAAUUGACAUUUAAAUUUUUUAAGUUGUUUUUUGGGGUUGGGGUUUCUCUGUGUAGCUUCAGCUCUCCUGAGACUUUGUAGACCAAGCCGGCCUCAUACUCGGAAAUCAUCCUGCCUCUGCCUCCCAAGACCUGGCAUCUUUUUUUUCCAGGCAUUUUAUCACAGUGGUAAACCAACACUGGUAAACCAAACAGACACACUGAUUUCAGGAUGUCAUCUGGGAGUGACACAAAGUCGGGGAUGUGCUAGCUGGUUUGCCAGCAUUAAUAUAAGGGGCAAAAGCCUGCUAGACUUCCUUUCCUCCGCUCAGAGUCUGCAACAUGAAUUAAUGAAUAUCCAGGAACUGCAAUCUGAGCUUGCUCCUAAGUCAUAAAUGGUGGGAAACAGAAAAGGCCUGCAGCAUGUCUACACAUACAGAUCAGGUGAAGGGUGGAGUUUUCCUUUUGAGGAUAGCAUCGAGGCAGUCCUCAUUAAACCGGGGAGCAGGGGCUGGAGAGGUGGCUCAUAAGUUCAGAGUGCGUACUGCUCUGGCUGCAGAGAAUCCAAGCGUCGUGUUCCAGCACCCGCACUGGGCAGCUCUCAACCACCUACAACUCCAGUUCCAGGAGACUCAAUGCUCCUGGCCUCCAUGGGCGCCUGCACGCACUUGUACAAACCCACAGGUACACACACACACACACACACGCACACACACACACACACACACACACACACAAUGCGGUUUAAAAACAGGGUAAGGGGAGAGUCAAGAGGCAUAAAAACCAUAACCAGAACUGAAAAUCUGCAGUCACGUGGGAACCUUCUGACAGGUUAGGGGACUAGAAGUGCUUGAGAGAUGCACAUACUGCCAAGACCCCACAAAACAAUCCUACAGAACUGGCCCCCGGGGCCCCAAAUCAGCUCCUGCUAGAAAGUAAACUGUGACACCUCGCUGUGGUACCUUCAAGCUUUAGGAGAGCUAUUAAGGUCCACAUUUAACUGCGGAGCCGGGGCUGGAGCUGCGGGGCAGCUGAGCUCCACUUUGCCCUCUUGCAGACGGAUGUGCCUGACCACAGGAUAAGCCUGCACCAGUGAGAGGAGAGAUUCUGACCACAGGAUAAGCCUGCACCAAUGAGAGGAGAGAUCCUGACCACACGAUAAGCCUGCACCAAUGAGAGGAGAGAUCCUGACCACACGAUAAGCCUGCACCAAUGAGAGGAGAGAUCCUGACCACAGGAUAAGCCUGUACCAAUGAGAGGAGAGAUCCUGACCACACGAUAAGCCUGCACCAAUGAGAGGAGAGAGAAGUGAUGCGCACAGCCUCUGCUCAUCACCCAAAGAUGCUAUGACACCCUAUUCAGGAGCCAGCUCUGGUCACACAGUCAGGGUGGUCAUCAUCAGGAUGUGGGAACUACCAACUUCUCUUAAGUACCUUGCUAACUUUUAGACUGCUGUGGGCCACCUCACAGUAUUAAUAUUUGAAAGAAAAAUAAACUUUUAUCAAGCUGUAUUUUUAGUCUCCUUGUUGCAGAGGCUUGCCUAUUCAAAGUAAAUAUUGACUGAAUUAUCAAUUCAAAUGAUGGAAUAUGAUGGAAACCAACAUUUGCUAAGUAGGGCCACUGUUUCCAUGUCAUUGGACAUCUUUUUUUUUUCUUUUUUUAAUUUUUGAGAUUAUCUAAGCCAUUUCUCCUUCCCUUUUCUCCCUUCAAACCCUUGACUUUUUUUCUUAAUGCUUUGCCGGCCAGUCUUAGUUGUCAGCUUGGCACACCUGGGGAGAGGGAGUCUCCGUUGAAGAACUGCUUCCGUCUGGCCUGUGGGCACGUCAAUGGGCCACUCUCUUGAUGGCUAAUUUGAUGCAGGGAGGCCUGCAUCUGUGGCGAUGCCAUCCCUGGGCAGGUGGCCUGAGCUGCGUCCGAGGCAGUGAAACAAGCCAGUAAGCACUGUUCCUCAUGGUUCUGCAUCCAUUUCUGCCCAGUCCCUGCUCUGUCUUCUCCCAGUGAUGGAGGAGAAGGAAGAAAUACCCUUUCCUCCCCUACAUUGGUUUUAGGCAAUGUUUUAUCACGGUUAACAUAGAAGCAAAGCAGGACAAGUGCUUAUAUAAUUUACAAACUACCUAAAACAUUUCCAGCACACGUCUUCCCACUUUGCAUUUUAUGAUUUAUUUUGAAGCAUAAAAUUCCAGAUGUUGGUGUGAAAACACUAACCUAAGCAUACUCCAACUCUAACUGCAGGUGAGUGUUUCCCUGUGAGAUUUCUUUACUGUUUCUGUGCUUAAGAAAACAAACAACUCUAUGGGAACAAGGUUUACUUCAGGAAACAACUCUUUGGGACCAGUUUUUGACUCUGUGGGGGACGUACUUUGAUGCCCACCGCAGCAGCGUACGCAGCGUAAGGAGACUGAGCUGGGCUAACAGUAACCACUCCUGGGACAGCAGCUGCUCUGCUCCUGGAACGAUGGCCCGAGCCCAUCCGCUCGGGUCUUCACUGCGUCAUGACCAACAACAGCUCCCAGCAUUGCUCUUCAGCCAAUUUGUUGUGCAUAAAAUAAAUUUUAAUAUUAAGGGGAGGGGGAACUCCAAGACAAGCUCUUACUUUGAAGGAAAAAAAGCAAAGGACAUUUUCAGCAGCCUUUGAAAUACUCUUACAUUUUUACUUUUUCUUGGGGGCAGAACAUGGCUCCGGGGGAGGAGUGCUUGUCUAGAACUACACAAACCGGGUAUGGUAUGGCGGUGCACUUGGAGGUGAAGUCAAGAGAAUUAAGUUCAAAGUCAACCUCAGCUACAUAGGAACAGGAGGCCAGCCUAGGCUACAUUAUGAUAGCCUCUUCCCAACCCCUCCAACCAAACAGUCAGAGAAAAGCUGUAUUUCUUUAUUGUUGUUUUGUAUGUGUGCGCAUGUGCCAUGGUGUAUAUGAGGAGGCCAGGGGACCUUGCAGCAGUUGGUUCUUUCCAUGUAGGUCUCAGGGACUGAACUUAGUCAUCAAUUACAGCAGCAGGUACCGUUCCCUGCUCAGCCACCUUGCUGGCCCUGAAAUAUUCUCAGUGGCCCAAUUCAAGCUGCUCUGAAAACCUCACCCACAUUGAUCAUGUGACCUGCACAGACCGGAGAGGGAGACAGGGAGGGAUCGAUUACCUGCUAGCUCUGUGGGGUUCUAACCUGGGCGAUGGGACUGCAGUAUGCACGUGCCUGAUGAUUCUUUCUUCAAAAUGUGUGUUCUGUAUAAUUACUUACAUAUGUAUGAUAUGUUGAUCAACAGAAAGACGUAAUAUUCCUGUGUGAUGUUGGGGUCUGGGAACUACCUCAGACAUCAACAUAUCAUAGUGACAACAGAGAGAAGGGCUUAGUGCCAGAGCUCUGAUUUCACACCUUCCCUGUACUGAGGACUCACAGUACUAGACACCCGCUGCCACUGGUCUUGAAGCCCACCCCAGCACCAUGCAGAAACACUAAAAACGUGAUCCCAGAGCUUUAAGAACCAAACAGGGCAACAGAAUUAUUAAUAGUCUAAAUCUUCAAGAUUUAUUUUUGUUUUAUGAGUGCUUUGCCUGCAUGUAUCUAUGUGUACAUGUCUGGUGCCCAAGGUAGCUAGGAGAGGCCAUCAGGUCCUUUAGAAUAGCGUUAACGGAAGAUUCUGAGCAGGAAUGUGGGUGCUGGGAACCGACUCAGGUCCUCUGCAAGAGCAACAGAGCUCUUCAGUCCCUAGAGUCUAAGUAGUAAUUACCUAAAACUCACCUAUGCAGUUGAUUAUAUCACAGAACGGAUUAGUGAGAUGCAAUUUACUCAACUGCCACUUAAAGUGAAAGUGCCCUGCCCUAGGCUGGCAGUCCUUACGUCUAAAUGAGCAUGAGAUUACCUAACAGACCUCCCUAAAAUUGUUAGCACUGGGGUGGGGACCAAGGAUCUAGAAGGUUAGUAAACGGGUAGUUUGUGGAAUUUAUUUUUAAAGAUAUGAAUGUAGGGGAACUUUAAUUUUAUAUAUUUAUAGAAAAGAAUCUUAGUUCUUAAAUGUACACGUCAAAUGAUGCACAUUUCUACACUGGAGAAAUUUACAUAGAACCCUUCCCUGUCUUUGUUUCUCUCACCCUUCACUAUUCAGAGUUUACAUGUACAAAGCGUGGUGCUUAACCAAUGGGAGAACAGUGAUCUGUGAGUGACAGCUUCUGGAUGGACACACCCUUAUGCUGAACCUUCAACAAGGCUGCUUGAUUACAACUCCAGUGGCCCAAGAGAAUGGGAUGUGUCCAGUCCAAAGCCAAAUUACCUUAGGCCAGCCACCUUUAGGCCUUCAUGGCACACUGACUGCCCUCUUCUGUAAGUGACCAGUCUUUGUGACCAUUACGUAAAUCCUUUGGAAUGUACAAACUACUAGUUCCCACUAAGCAAAAGGCUAAGAAUGCUGUCAUGCUACAUCAGAGACCCACAGUGAGAUAUCUGUGAACGUCCUACAAGAUGUUCACAUUGAUGUAUUUGAAUAGUGUCACAAUUUACUUACGAUCUUUUUCUUCCGUACACAGGUUAGAGUGACCUGAAUCUAUGGCUCUUCAUAUCGGCUCGAGAAUAAGUCAUCUUUUGCCUUUUUUGAAGUAAGAGUUGUUUUCUCACCAACAUUUAGUAAGCGCUUUAAUUUUUCUUAAUUGAAAAGAUCAUGCAUACAACCCUGCACACAGCCCUGCAUACAGCCCAAACCUUGCAUAUAGCCCCACUUACAGCCUUGCACACAGCCCUGCACACAGCCCAAACCUUGCAUACAGCCCAGCACACAGCCCUGCAUACAGACCCACCAUACAGUCCUGCAUACAGCCCUGCAUACAGCCCCAUAUACAGCCCUGCACACAGCCCAAACCUUGCAUACAGACCCACCAUACAGUCCUGCACACAGCCCAAGCCCUGCAUACAGACCCACCAUACAGUCCUGCAUACAGCCCAAACCUUGCAUACAGCCCCACAUACAGCCCUGCAUACAGUCCCACAUACAGCCCUGCAUACAGCCCCACAUACAGCCCCACAUACAACCCUGCAUACAGCCCAAACCUUGCAUACAGCCCCACAUACAGCCCUGCAUACAGCCCUGCACACAGCCCAAACCUUGCAUACAGACCCACCAUACAGUCCUGCAUACAGCUACGCUGUUUCAUUUUGCUUUUGUCAACUUGACAUGAGCUAGACUCGUUUGAGAAGAGGAACCUCAAUUAAUAAAAUGCCUCCAUCAGAUCGUCUAUAAAUUGUCUGUGGGGCAUAUUCUUGAUUAACGACUUAUGUGGGAGGUGUCAGCCCACUGGGGUUGGUGUCUGGGCAGACGGUUCUGGGGUCUAUAAGAAAGCAGGCUAAGCAAACUGUAGGAGGCAGCAUUCCUCCAGGCCUCUCUGCAUUGGUUCCUGACUCCAGAUUCCUGCCUUGAGUUUUUGCCCUGACUUUCUCUUGGUCAUGGACUAUAAGCAGUAAAAUGAAAUAUAUAUAUUUCUUCCCAAGUGGCUUUUGAUCACAGUGUUUAUCACAGCAACAGAAAGCAAGCUAAGACAUAUAUACACAUGUGGUAGAAUAUUCCUGAUAGUAGUUAAGAAUAUAAAACAACAAAUAUAUGUUUUCUUCUCUCUCCAGACUUGGAGUUCCUUGGCUCCUUCCCCAGAGACAACCGGCAGCAAUGGCUUCUUCUAGAAAAAGUCCAUGCUGAAGCUGCCAUAUAUACCUUUGUCACUGUUUUCUAAGUAGAAGCACACUAAACAUACUGUUCUAAACACACUUCUUUGCUCAGAGCACAUUUUACAGACUGUCUACACAUCUCUAGAACUGUUACCUUACACAGCCACAAACAAUCCCACAAUCCACUGCGAAGUCCUCUGUGGCUGGCAGCUGGGCGAGCCCAGCCUUCCUCUAUCACAAACAAAGCUGCACACACAUGGGUGUGCCUGCCACCUGGUACAGUUUUGCAAGUAGGCUAAUUUUCUAUAAAUACACAGAAUGAAGAACGCAUAUACUCUAAACGAGACAUAUUGCCCUAACGCUCUGCAAAUAGGACAUCCCAAGCUGUUCCAACACCAGCAAUGCCAGCUUCUAAAAGCCUUGAGCAAAUGGCCUUUUCUCCUACAGUCAUUCGACAACUUGGCCAGCUGCAACACAAUGGAGACCAUUUCUAGAAAAACCUGUUUCUCAGAGCCACACUCUUCAGCUGUCUGACCCGUUAGUAAAGCUGCUCAUGAUUGCACGGACCAAGUGACUCUGAGUGAAAAGGUAAUAAGCCCGGCACCUGUUAUGGAGGACUGGUACAUCUGUGACUAAGGACAGAAAUCACUUCCUGUAACUCCAUGCACAGGAAGUCUAGCUUGUUCUGGAGCAAGCACAGCGCUGCACACUCUAGUGUAAUACCAUCUGCUGCUGUAGAGCGCUUACAGGUCCUCUCGGUUACUGUUGACUGGAUCUUAGAAGAAAUGAAUUCUGAUUAUCUGGGCCUCCCUCUGUUUUGGGACCUCCCCUCUUAUCUAUGAUGCUGGCCAAGCAUCUUUUCCUGACUUUUCAUCAGGACCUUUGGAUAAAAUACUACAUUACAGUACAUUAAAACAUUGGUUGACAUAUUUAUCAAUAAUGCACCCAUACCACUCAAGGUGGAACCCUCAGAAUGCUGCUCUGCAUGGUGUCUGAGAGUCACAGACUCAAGACUUAGGAAGUCAGGAUGGAGAGCACCAUUCUAACAGGCUGGGUCAGAACUCGAAAAGCUCCAUGUGAGGUGGGCCCACAAGACACAGGUUUCCAAAUUCUUAUCUCAGUGAUAUUUAAAUGAAUUUCGUAGGUCUUUAUUCCAUCCACAAUGUCAUGUAAACUGAAAAAAUGGCAAUUUAGCAGAUUUAUCAGGUAAAAAUAUAGGUUCCAAUUAUAUAUUUUCAUUUUGACAGCUGCACUCGGGAUGCUGCUUGGAAUUACUGCAGGACAUUGAGUAUCUUACUCCGGGAAGCUUAUUCUUUACAGACGAACACAAGAUUGAAAAUUAAAUUUAUACCAUCUUCUUAGGAAAGGUUCACUAUCUCUGAGCUGUUUCUCCUCCCUGUCCACCCUUUCUUUAUGAGCUCUAUUUCUCUUCUGUUUCAGUUCCUCAGGCAGAACGCAGACCGACUCUUUGUUUCUAGAACCAUAACUGGAACUGGGAUGCAACAGCAUAGGUGAUCCAGAGCAGACUUAAAACCAGAGGCUGAGUGACUCCUUCAGAGUGCCCUGAGGACACUAUACUGAGAUGGCAUUUUAACUCCAUGGAUGCUUAAAAACAAACAAGGCUGCACUGCUUAAGACAACUAAGACCACAUCGAACACAAUAAAGACGCAGCUCAGGGAGGAUGGAAGCCCACAGCCUUCCAUGGGAGCCCAUGUGACUUUUCCUGGCUUUCUCUUACAAUACAAAACAUUUGUAACUUAAGUUUCCUGAAAAGAGAAUAUAUUUUGAAAACUGGAAAA
rnacentral:sRNA from 1 species